GAAACGCGAUAGGUAAUGUGAAUUGCAGAAUUCCGUGAAUCAUCGAAUCUUUGAACGCACAUUGCGCCUUCUGGAAUUCCGGUAGGCAUGCCUGUUUGAGCGUCAGUAAACACCUCUCGGGCGAGUGGUUUUUCACGAACCGCUUUUGUCCGGUUAUGGGCGCUGGUGGCCCGCAGUGCCGUCCGCAGCCAAACCCUGCGGAAGGACCCACCCGUCUUAAAAGUUGCAGCCCGCCCGCGGAACUCCCCGCCGCAUGGGUUAACGGAGUGGAAAAGUACACUAUCCGUAGCCUGAGCGGGGUAACCGGCGGCGUAAAGCCACUUAAGUGACAACUCAACUGAAGUUUGACCUCAAAUCAGACAAGGAUACCCGCUGAACUUAA
rnacentral:misc_RNA from 1 species